rnacentral:rRNA from 1 species
UACGUAGGGUGCGAGCGUUAAUCGGAAUUACUGGGCGUAAAGUGUGCGCAGGCGGCCGUGCAAGUCUGGCGUGAAAGCCCCGGGCUCAGCCCGGGAAGUGCGCUCGAAACUGCGCGGCUCGAGUGCCGGAGGGGAGAGUGGAAUUCCUGGUGUAGCGGUGAAAUGCGUAGAGACCGGGAAGAACACCAGUGGCGAAGGCGGCUACCUGGACAGGUACUGACGCUGAAGCGCGAAAGCUAGGGGAGCAAACAGG